UUGAACGCUGGCGGAAUGCUUUACACAUGCAAGUCGAGCGGCAGCGCGGGGGCAACCCUGGCGGCGAGCGGCGAACGGGUGAGUAACAUAUCGGAACGUACCCUGUCGUGGGGGAUAACACAGCGAAAGCUGUGCUAAUACCGCAUACGACCUGAGGGUGAAAGCGGGGGAUCGCAAGACCUCGCGCGAUAGGAGCGGCCGAUAUCGGAUUAGCUUGUUGGUGAGGUAAAGGCUCACCAAGGCGACGAUCCGUAGCUGGUCUGAGAGGACGACCAGCCACACUGGAACUGAGACACGGCCCAGACUCCUACGGGAGGCAGCAGUGGGGAAUUUUGGACAAUGGGGGAAACCCUGAUCCAGCCAUGCCGCGUGCAGGAUGAAGGCCUUCGGGUUGUAAACCGCUUUCGGACGGAAAGAAAUCGCAUGGACUAAUACUCUGUGUGGAUGACGGUACCGUAAGAAGAAGCACCGGCUAACUACGU
rnacentral:rRNA from 1 species